rnacentral:rRNA from 1 species
UACGAGGGGGGCGAGCGUUGUUCGGAAUUAUUGGGCGUAAAGGGUGCGUAGGCGGUUUGGUAAGUCUUGUGUGAAAUCUCCAGGCUCAACUUGGAGUCUGCACGAGAAACUGCCGGGCUUGAGUGUGGGAGAGGUGAGUGGAAUUCCUGGUGUAGCGGUGAAAUGCGCAGAUAUCAGGAGGAACACCGGUGGCGAAGGCGGUUCUCUGGGCCUGUACUGACGCUGAGGAGCGAAAGCGUGGGGAGCGAACAGG